rnacentral:rRNA from 1 species
CGAGGGGAGUGAAAAAGAACCUGAAACCGUGUACGUACAAGCAGUGGGAGCACGCUUCGGCGUGUGACUGCGUACCUUUUGUAUAAUGGGUCAGCGACUUAUAUUCUGUAGCAAGGUUAACCGAAUAGGGGAGCCGAAGGGAAACCGAGUCUUAACUGGGCGUUAAGUUGCAGGGUAUAGACCCGAAACCCGGUGAUCUAGCCAUGGGCAGGUUGAAGGUUGGGUAACACUAACUGGAGGACCGAACCGACUAAUGUUGAAAAAUUAGCGGAUGACUUGUGGCUGGGGGUGAAAGGCCAAUCAAACCGGGAGAUAGCUGGUUCUCCCCGAAAGCUAUUUAGGUAGCGCCUCGUGAAUUCAUCUCCGGGGGUAGAGCACUGUUUCGGCAAGGGGGUCAUCCCGACUUACCAACCCGAUGCAAACUGCGAAUACCGGAGAAUGUUAUCACGGGAGACACACGGCGGGUGCUAACGUCCGUCGUGAAGAGGGAAACAACCCAGACCGCCAGCUAAGGUCCCAAAGUCAUGGUUAAGUGGGAAACGAUGUGGGAAGGCCCAGACAGCCAGGAUGUUGGCUUAGAAGCAGCCAUCAUUUAAAGAAAGCGUAAUAGCUCACUGGUCGAGUCGGCCUGCGCGGAAGAUGUAACGGGGCUAAACCAUGCACCGAAGCUGCGGCAGCGACACUAUGUGUUGUUGGGUAGGGGAGCGU